rnacentral:tRNA from 1 species
ACCUUCGUGGUGCAGUGGUCAGCACGCUGAACGCAUAUUCCGGAGGUCUGUAGUUCGAGUCCCAGUGAAGGCG